rnacentral:rRNA from 1 species
AGCGAACGCUGGCGGCAGGCCUAACACAUGCAAGUCGAACGAAGUCUUCGGACUUAGUGGCGGACGGGUGAGUAACACGUGGGAACGUGCCUUUAGGUUCGGAAUAACUCAGGGAAACUUGUGCUAAUACCGAAUGUGCCCUUCGGGGAAAGAUUUAUCGCCUUUAGAGCGGCCCGCGUCUGAUUAGCUAGUUGGUGAGGUAAAGGCUCACCAAGGCGACGAUCAGUAGCUGGUCUGAGAGGAUGAUCAGCCACAUUGGGACUGAGACACGGCCCAAACUCCUACGGGAGGCAGCAGUGGGGAAUCUUGCGCAAUCGGCCAAAGCUUGACGCGGCCAUGCCGCGUGAAUGAUGAAGGUCUUAGGACUGUAAAAUUCUUUCACCGGGGACGAUAAUGACGGUACCCGGAGAAGAAGCCCCGGCUAACUUCGUGCCAGCCGCCGCAGUAAAGC